GGCCUGAUGGUCUAGGGUAUGAUUCUCGCUUUGGGUGCGAGAGGUCCCGGGUUCAAAUCCCGGUCAGGCAU
rnacentral:tRNA from 1 species